rnacentral:lncRNA from 1 species
GGCAGAUAUUGGCAAUUAGUUGGCAGUGGCCUGUUACGGUUGGGAUUGGUGGGGUGGGUUUAGGUAAUUGUUUAGUUUAUGAUUGCAGAUAAACUCAUGCCAGAGAACUUAAAAGUCUUAGGAUGGAAAAGGUAAAGAAAUAUCAAUUUCAAGUUGGCAAGUAACUCUCAAUGAUUUAGUUUUUGUUUCCCCCAGUUUUUGAAUUGGGAAGCUGGGGGAAGUUAUAUAUGAGCCACUGGGUGUUCCAGUGCAUUAAUUUGGGCAAGGAAAGUGUCAUAAUUUGAUACUGUAUCUGUUUUCCUUCAAAGUAUAGAGCUUGGGGAAGGAAAGUAUUGAACGGGGGGUUGGUCUGGCCCACUGGGCUGACAUUUAACUACAAUUAUGGGAAAUGCAAAAGUUGUUUGGAUAUGGUAGUGUGUGGUUCUCUUUUGGAAUUUUUUUCAGGUGAUUUAAUAAUAAUUUAAAACUACUAUAGAAACUUCAGAGCAAAGGAAGUGGCUUAAUGAUCCUGAAGGGAUUUCUUCUGAUGGUAGCUUUUGUAUUAUCAAACUUUUUUCAGAUAACAUCUUCUGAGUCAUAACCAGCCUGGCAGUAUGAUGGCCUAGAUGCAGAGAAAACAGCUCCUUGGUGAAUGAUAAGUAAAGGCAGAAAAGAUUAUAUGUCAUACCUCCAUUGGGGAAUAAGCAUAACCCUGAGAUUCUUACUACUGAUGAGAACAUAUCUGCAUAUGCCAAAAAAUUUUAAGCAAAUGAAAGCUACCAAUUUAAAGUUAUGGAAUCUACCAUUUUAAAGUUAAUUGCUUGUCAAGCUAUAACCACAAAAAUAAUGAUGAGAAAUACAAUGAAGAGCCAAUGUCCAUCUCAAAAUACUGCUUUUACAAAAGCAGAAUAAAAGCGAAAUGAAAUGAAAAUGUUACACUACAUAAUCCUGGAAUAAAAGAAGCCGAAAUAAAUGAGAGAUGAGUUGGGAUCAAGUGGAUUGAGGAGGCUGUGCUGUGUGCCAAUGUUUCGUUUGCCUCAGACAGGUAUCUCUUCGUUAUCAGAAGAGUUGCUUCAUUUCAUCUGGGAGCAGAAAACAGCAGGCAGCUGUUAACAGAUAAGUUUAACUUGCAUCUGCAGUAUUGCAUGUUAGGGAUAAGUGCUUAUUUUUAAGAGCUGUGGAGUUCUUAAAUAUCAACCAUGGCACUUUCUCCUGACCCCUUCCCUAGGGGAUUUCAGGAUUGAGGAAUUUUCCCAUCGAGCCUCUUUAAAAUUGUAGGACUUGUUCCUGUGGGCUUCAGUGAUGGGAUAGUACACUUCAGAGAGGCAUUUGCGUCUUUAAAUAAUUUCUUAAAAGCCUCUAAAGUGAUCAGUGCCUUAAUGCAACUAAGGAAAUUUGUUUAGCAUUGAAUCUCUGAAGGCUCUAUGAAAGGAAUAGCAUGAUGUGCUGUUAGAAUCGGAUGUUAUUGCUAAAAUUUACAUGUUGUGUUGUGAUGUAAAUUGUGUAGAAAACCAUUAAAUCAUUCAAAAUAAUAAA